UACAGAGGUCUCAAGCGUUGUUCGGAUUCAUUGGGCGUAAAGGGCGCGUAGGCGGCGGGGUAAGUCGGGUGUGAAAUCUCAGGGCUCAACCCUGAAACUGCACUCGAUACUGCUCUGCUUGAGGACUGGAGAGGAGACUGGAAUUCACGGUGUAGCAGUGAAAUGCGUAGAUAUCGUGAGGAAGACCAGUGGCGAAGGCGGGUCUCUGGACAGUUCCUGACGCUGAGGCGCGAAAGGCCAGGGGAGCCAAAGCGGG
rnacentral:rRNA from 1 species